rnacentral:rRNA from 1 species
CACGUAGGGGACGAGCGUUGUCCGGAUUCAUUGGGCGUAAAGCGCGCGUAGGCGGCUCGGAAAGUCGGUCGUGAAAUGCCGGGGCUCAACCCCGGGACUGCGUCCGAUACUCCCGAGCUGGAGGCAGGUAGGGGAGAUCGGAAUUCCUGGUGUAGCGGUGAAAUGCGCAGAUAUCAGGAGGAACACCGGUGGCGAAGGCGGGUCUCUGGACAGUUCCUGACGCUGAGGCACGAAGGUCAGGGGAGCAAACGGG